ACUCCCGUAGUUCAACGGAUAGAACACCGGUUUCCGGAACCGGCAGUGCGGGUUCAAUUCCCGCCGGGGGUA
rfam:Candidate division WWE3 bacterium GW2011_GWC2_44_9 TW82_C0020, whole genome shotgun sequence.